rnacentral:lncRNA from 1 species
CGGGAGCGCGGGGCUCAGGGCCAGGGCCCGCCUCCAGGGGGCGGUGUGCGCCCCCGGCGCUGGAGCAGCCGCGUUUCGGGGACCCGGGCAGGCGUGGGGGGCUGCGCUGAGCUCCAGGCCUCCUGCAGCCUGGAGUGCAGUAGUGUAAUCUCGGCUCACUGCAGCCUCAAACUUCUGGGCUCGAGCGAUCCUCUCACCUCAGCCUCCUGAGUAGCUGGGACUACAGGUUUCUCCUUCUCGUCUUCCAAAGCUGUGCCUUAACUUCCUCGAAAGACAACAUCAGUGCUGGCGGGCCUCAAGAAGAGCCAUCCCAAGGUAUUGACUAGGCAUCAGCGUCUUCACCAGGGCAACACAGAACAUCCCUGCAGAGUUCCUGGUGGCUGCAGUGGCUGGUAGGGGAUGUAUGCCUGCUUUCCAUCAGAUUCCCAAAGCGGAGCCCCUGGAGGCUUUGGCCCAUGGCCCUGAAGCUCCCUUUCACAAGGAAGAAAGACUUUGCAAAGCCAACACCACUAUUGGAGAGAAAGUGGAGAAUGUGUAUUAGAAGUACUAGUCUUUGAAGGCAAAACAGCUGUAUAGAGUGAGCUUAAGUGCUGGAUCCCUGUGGUUAGGAAGGGACACUAAGCCUCCGGGAUGUGAGAGUCCCAUGGAAGGCAGUAGGCCCAGGAUAAAGCAGGUGUCAGCUCAGAAAGCCCACCAUCACCCAGAAAAGGGAAGAAAUACGCUACCACCAUCACUCUUUCUGCCAAUGACUUCUUUGCACACCUCCACCCUAUCUCCUGGCUCAGUCUCCCAUGUUCUCAUAGCUAGGGAGGUCUCCAUUGUAAUUUGUAUGGGGAGGUUAACCUAUAGGCCAUUCUGAUGAUCCCAGCUCCCUUUCACUACAACCCCCGUCUGCAUCCUUUGCUUUGCAGUAGGAUUUGAGAGAGGAAGGAUGAAGAUGUAGCCACAGGAUACAUUUAAACAGGCACAGAGUUUGAGGGGUGGGGGGGAACAAAAGCAAAACAAUAAAACCUUCACCAGUCAUUAAAGAAAUGAAAAUGAACCUUUUGAGAUUGUCAAUUUUUAUCUGCUAAGUCAAGAAAAG